CCUACGGGGGGCAGCAGUGAGGAAUAUUGGACAAUGGGCGGAAGCCUGAACCAGCCAAGUAGCGUGCGGGAUGAAGGCCCUACGGGUGGUAAACCGCUUUUGCACGGGGAUAAAACCCGCCAAGUGUGGAGGUCUGCAGGUACCGUGCGAAUAAGGGCAGGCUAAUUCCGUGCCAGCAGCAGCGGUAAUACGGAAGGCCCGAGCGUUAUCCGGAUUCAUUGGGCUUAAAGGGAGCGUAGGCGGGCGUGCAAGUCAGCUGUAAAAUCGCGCGGCUCAACCGCGCCCCGCAGUUGAAACUGGACGCCUUGUGUUCACUACAGGCAGGCGGACUUCGUGGUGUAGCGGU
rnacentral:rRNA from 1 species